UUUUAAUUAAUAUAAGCCCCUGUGUGUUUACUUGGUGGAUGCAAGUGGGAGAGAUUUGUCCCAACCGCUGCCCAGUUGGGACACAAGAAAGCUUCAGCUACACCCUGGUGCUCACCAAUGAGUGUGGACAGGAUCUAUGGCUUAUUUAUAGCCACAGAAUAUGAUAAAGGUGGCAUGGUGUCCACCUGUGACUGUGUUAUGUAAUGAGAGAGUCACGUGUCGCUACCUCGGUGAACAGCAGCACUGUGGACGUGCACAUAGUGAGCAGCUCAGAGGACUUGGCCAUCCGCUGAUGAGGAGCCUGGAUUCCUGCUCCUAGAGCCAUAGUAAGUGAAUUCUGCCUGGCUCUUGAGUUAGUUUGGAAGAGAUUUCUUUCCCAGUCAAGCCUACAGACUAGAACAGUUGGAGCAACAUCUUGCCUGCAACUUCUGCCUGAAGCAGAAGAUUUGUCUGGGCCACAUCCUGACCUUAUGGAGACUGUAAAGGGGGUAGUUUUGAACCGCUAGGAUGUGGUCAUUUGUCUUUCAGAAUUAGAAAACAAACACUCAGUUCUAUACACAUGCUAUAUGCCAUAUCCACACCGGUUGAGGGCUUGAAGUACCCCAAGAACUUAACAAAAUGUUAUCUGCACUUUACAGAUAAAGCAAUCGAGGCUCGGAAAUUGAACUCUGCCCCCGUUUUUAAAAACAUCACAACAUAUUUUGUUUCAGUGCAUUUCAUUGUUUCGACUUAAGUAUGGUUUGAGAUACAUCUUCUGAAACACAAAUACAUUUCAGAAAAAUUCUACUUGGCAUACAGAGAACAUAAGAAAUAAUAUUGGAUACAUGACAGGAAAUUUUCUCACUUGUGCUCAAAGCAGUAACAAUAAACUCUUAAAAGGGAGAACACUCAUGCAGGUCCAAGCCUGGUGUCUUAGCUGGAACCAGAGUCUCAAGAUGCUAAUUAUUCAUACAACGUGAUUGAGGAUUUGGAGUCGGAGAUUCACCUGCAAUAUUUGGAAUACCAGUGGAGAUCCAUAUCAACAUGGAAUUUAUACAGCAGCUGGUGCCAGUCACAGCUAAUGAUGAAAUUUCAGUUUAAUAAAAAGACCCCCAACUGAGCACAACCAUCUUGAAGAAAGUAUACUUAUCAAACAGCUUUCAAUCAGUUCAAGAGAGACACCUUAAUUGGGAAGAGGAAGAAUUGCACAGCAGUUUGUCACCAUGCCAAUUUCAGAUCAAUAGCGUUGCCCUGCUCUUUGGUACACAUAGCCUUUCCUUACGCCAUUAACUGUGUCUACAUCCUCUCCAUUGAGAUGAGAUCUUUGUUCAGUUGAGAGUAUGUGAUCAUGCCCCCUUCUAAUUCACCCAUUUCAUUAUAAUACCCACGAAUAAAAUUUAGACUGUAAUCAUAAAGGUCAAUACAUUUUCUUUUAACUAAAAUUAUUUCCUGGUACUGGAAAUCAGUGCUUAUGACAUGUUGUAUUUUCAAAAGUUAUUUUGUCGAAAUAA